AGAGUUUGAUCAUGGCUCAGGACGAACGCUGGCGGCGUGCCUAACACAUGCAAGUCGAACGGAGUUUAAUGACGGAAACCUUCGGGUGGAAGACAUUAAACUUAGUGGCGGACGGGUGAGUAACGCGUGAGCAACCUGCCUCUCAGAGGGGGAUAACGUUUGGAAACGAACGCUAAUACCGCAUAACAUAUCUUUAUCGCAUGAUAGAGAUAUCAAAGGAGCAAUCCGCUGAGAGAUGGGCUCGCGUCCGAUUAGAUAGUUGGUGAGGUAACGGCUCACCAAGUCGACGAUCGGUAGCCGGACUGAGAGGUUGAACGGCCACAUUGGGACUGAGACACGGCCCAG
rnacentral:rRNA from 1 species